rnacentral:rRNA from 1 species
UGGCCAGACUCCUACGGGAGGCAGCAGUGAGGAAUAUUGGUCAAUGGGCUUACGCCUGAACCAGCCAAGUCGCGUGAGGGAAGACUGCCCUAUGGGUUGUAAACCUCUUUUGUCGGGGAGCAAAUUCCGCCACGUGUGGCGGAGUCGAGAGUACCCGAAGAAAAAGCAUCGGCUAACUCCGUGCCAGCAGCCGCGGUAAUACGGAGGAUGCGAGCGUUAUCCGGAUUUAUUGGGUUUAAAGGGUGCGUAGGCGGAAUGCCAAGUCAGCGGUAAAAUCGCGGGGCUCAACCUCGCUCCGCCGUUGAAACUGGCGUUCUUGAGUGGGCGAGAAGUAUGCGGAAUGCGUGGUGUAGCGGUGAAAUGCAUAGAUAUCACGCAGAACUCCGAUUGCGAAGGCAGCAUACCGGCGCCCAACUGACGCUGAAGCACGAAAGCGUGGGUAUCGAACAGGAUUAGAUACCCGGGUA